rnacentral:rRNA from 1 species
AUAUUAAAGUUGUUGCAGUUAAAAAGCUCGUAGUUGAAUUUCGGGAUCAAAUUGUCGGUCGUGCCUCGGUACGUACUGGCGUUAUUGGUUCCUCCCUUCUGAAGAACCGCGAUGUCAUUAAUUUGGUGUCGCGGGGAAUCAGGACUGUUACUUUGAAAAAAUUAGAGUGUUUAAAGCAGGCUCGCGCUUGAAUACAUUAGCAUGGAAUAAUGAAAUAGGACGUUUGAUUCUAUUUUGUUGGUUUCUAGGAUCGACGUAAUGAUUAAUAGGGAUAGUUGGGGGCAUUAGUAUUCAAUUGUCAGAGGUGAAAUUCUUGGAUUUAUUGAAGACUAACUACUGCGAAAGCAUUUGCCAAGGAUGUUUUCAUUAAUCAAGAACGAAAGUUAGGGGAUCGAAGACGAUCAGAUACCGUCGUAGUCUUAACCAUAAACUAUGCCGACUAGGGAUCGGAUGAUGUUAAUUUUUUAAUGACUCAUUCGGCGCCUUACGG